UGCAGUCGACUUGAGUCUUCGGACUUGGGUGGCGCACGGGUGAGUAACGCGUAAAGAACUUGCCUCUUAGACCGGGACAACAUCUGGAAACGGAUGCUAAUACCGGAUAUUAUGGUUUUUUCGCAUGGAGGAAUCAUGAAAGCUAGAUGCGCUAAGAGAGAGCUUUGCGUCCCAUUAGCUCGUUGGUGAGGUAACGGCCCACCAAGGCAAUGAUGGGUAGCCGGCCUGAGAGGGUGAACGGCCACAAGGGGACUGAGACACGGCCCUUACUCCUACGGGAGGCAGCAGUGGGGAAUAUUGGACAAUGGACCACAAGUCUGAUCCAGCAAUUCUGUGUGCACGAUGACGUUUUUCGGAAUGUAAAGUGCUUUCAGUCGGGAAGAAGUCAGUGACGGUACCGACAGAAGAAGCGACGGCUAAAUACGUGCCAGCAGCCGCGGUAAUACGUAUGUCGCAAGCGUUAUCCGGAUUUAUUGGGCGUAAAGCGCGUCUAGGCGGCAAGGAAAGUCUGAUGUGAAAAUGCGGAGCUCAACUCCGUAUGGCGUUGGAAACUGCCUUACUAGAGUACUGGAGAGGUAGGCGGAACUACAAGUGUAGAGGUGAAAUUCGUAGAUAUUUGUAGGAAUGCCGAUGGGGAAGCCAGCCUACUGGACAGAUACUGACGCUAAAGCGCGAAAGCGUGGGUAGCAAACAGGAUUAGAUACCC
rnacentral:rRNA from 1 species